rnacentral:misc_RNA from 1 species
UGUAGGAGUGAGCCUGCUCGCGAUAGCGGUAUGUCAGUCAAUGUUUAAGUCGACUGAUACACCGCUAUCGCGAGCAGGCUCACUCCUACA